GUCGGUUUAGACGGCUUCGGCAGUAGCAAAACCGGCGACAAAUUUUUCUCGGGCUGGAGGAGCGCAGUGGAGAGACAAGGCCGAUGUACUGCUGCAUCAACUUAAAUGCACAACAUCUGCCUGGGAGCCGGUGACAUCAUGGCCCCAGACGAUGAAGUGCAGGACGACAUGCCAGAGGAUGAGGAGGGGGAGAACG